AGCGGAGGAAAGAAACUAACCAGGAUUCCCCUAGCAACGGCGAGUGAACCGGGAAGAGCUCAAAUUUGAAAUCUGGCGUGCUCAGUGCGUCCGAGUUGUAAUCUAUAGAGGCGUUUUCCGUGCCGGACUGUGUCUAAGUCCCUUGGAACAGGGUAUCAAAGAGGGUGAUAAUCCCGUACUUGACACAAUGACCGGUGCUCUGUGAUACGUCUUCUACGAGUCGAGUUGUUUGGGAAUGCAGCUCAAAAUGGGUGGUGAGUUCCAUCUAAAGCUAAAUAUUGGCGAGAGACCGAUAGCGAACAAGUACCGUGAGGGAAAGAUGAAAAGCACUUUGGAAAGAGAGUUAAACAGUACGUGAAAUUGUUGAAAGGGAAACGAUUGAAGUCAGUCGUGACUGAGAGGCUCAGCCGGUUCUGCCGGUGUAUUCCCCUCAGUCGGGUCAACAUCAGUUUUGUUCGGUGGAUAAGGGCAGCUGGAAGGUGGCACCUCCGGGUGUGUUAUAGCCAGCUGUCGCAUACACCGAAUGAGACUGAGGAAUGCAGCUCGCCUUUAUGGCCGGGGUUCGCCCACGUCCGAGCUUAGGAUGUUGACAUAAUGGCUUUAAACGACCCGUCUUG
rnacentral:rRNA from 1 species